GCGUGGUGUCUGUAAAGGCGCAGCAGGUACAGCUGCGGUGGUGUAUGUGCUGUGUCGUUGGUGUGUGGCUUGCAUGUGUCGGUGGGCAAGCAGGCAUUUGCGGUUGUCUUCAUCUUUUGGAACUGGGAAUGAGCAUAUGUUCCUGUGUUGCCUUAUGGGGUGUGGUGCAGUGGUAGAAUGGAGGCUAGAUCCCAUAGCGGGGGUGUCAUUAUGGUCCACAAUUAGGGCUGAGUUGUGGUGUGUUUUUUUUUUUUUUUUUUUUUCCUUCCCCCUUCCUCCCCC